rnacentral:rRNA from 1 species
CCUACGGGUGGCUGCAGUGGGGAAUAUUGCACAAUGGGGGAAACCCUGAUGCAGCAACGCCGCGUGAAGGAAGACGGUGUUCGGAGUGUAAACUUCUGUUCGUAGUGAAGAAGAAUGACGGGAGCUAAGGAGCAAGCCACGGCUAACUACGUGCCAGCAGCCGCGGUAAUACGGAGGUGGCAAGCGUUGUCCGGAAUUACUGGGUGGAAAGGGAGCGCAGGCGGGACGCCACGUCAGCUGUGAAAACUACGGGCUUAACUUGUAGACUGCCGUUGAAACGGGUUUUCUUGAGUGCAGUAGAGGUUGUCGUAAUUCCGCGUGUAGCGGUGCAAUGC